AGACCCGAAACCCGGUGAUCUAGCCAUGGGCAGGUUGAAGGUUGGGUAACACUAACUGGAGGACCGAACCGACUAAUGUUGAAAAAUUAGCGGAUGACCUGUGGCUGGGGGUGAAAGGCCAAUCAAACCGGGAGAUAGCUGGUUCUCCCCGAAAGCUAUUUAGGUAGCGCCUCGUGAAUUCAUCUCCGGGGGUAGAGCACUGUUUCGGCUAGGGGGCCAUCCCGGCUUACCAACCCGAUGCAAACUGCGAAUACCGGAGAAUGUUAUCACGGGAGACACACGGCGGGUGCUAACGUCCGUCGUGAAGAGGGAAACAACCCAGACCGCCAGCUAAGGUCCCAAAGUCAUGGUUAAGUGGGAAACGAUGUGGGAAGGCCCAGACAGCCAGGAUGUUGGCUUAGAAGCAGCCAUCAUUUAAAGAAAGCGUAAUAGCUCACUGGUCGAGUCGGCCUGCGCGGAAGAUGUAACGGGGCUAAACCAUGCACCGAAGCUGCGGCAGCGAACGUAUCACCCAAGACAACUUUACGGAGUUGACGAUUGACGGAGCGAAGCGACGUCAAAGCGUUCAUUAAAGUCGAGUUGGCUUAGGGAUA
rnacentral:rRNA from 3 species